rnacentral:lncRNA from 1 species
GACUCAUGAUUCCUGUCAGAGCUGACUGUCUUCUUCUUUUAUGUCUAAACACCAGGUGACAUCCAAGCAGGCUCCAGCAACAGAAGAAGAGAUGGCUGUGACUCCUGUUGAUCUGUCCUCCAAGGUUUAUGGUGAAGAUGAUUGUGAUGAUGCUGCUGCUGAAGAUGGUGGUCCAACGGAAUUUGCUAUCAGAGGAUCAUCCCUGGUGGAUUAUUCUGACACUGAUGGAACCGAUGUGGAUUGUUUAAAUGAUCAGCCAUUGGCUCCACGCUGUGAUGAAGGUGUUCCAAAGUUGAGAAGGACGAAAA